AGAGUUUGAUCCUGGCUCAGGAUGAACGCUGGCGGCGUGCUUAACACAUGCAAGUCGAACGAUCCUUCGGGAUAGUGGCGGACGGGUGAGUAACGCGUGGGAAUCUGCCCUCAGGAGGGGGAUAACGGCUGGAAACGGCCGCUAAUACCCCAUAUGCCGAGAGGUGAAAUGAAUUUCGCCUGAGGAUGAGCCCGCGUCUGAUUAGCUAGUUGGUGGGGUAAAGGCCUACCAAGGCAACGAUCAGUAGCUGGUCUGAGAGGAUGAUCAGCCACACUGGGACUGAGACACGGCCCAGACUCCUACGGGAGGCAGCAGUGGGGAAUUUUCCGCAAUGGGCGAAAGCCUGACGGAGCAACGCCGCGUGAGGGAUGAAGGCCUCUGGGCUGUAAACCUCUUUUCUCAAGGAAGUAGACCUGACGGUACUUGAGGAAUAAGCCACGGCUAAUUCCGUGCCAGCAGCCGCGGUAAUACGGGAGUGGCAAGCGUUAUCCGGAAUUAUUGGGCGUAAAGCGUCCGCAGGCGGCCUUGUAAGUCUGUUGUUAAAGCGUGGAGCUCAACUCCAUUUAAGCAAUGGAAACUACAAGGCUGGAGUGUGGUAGGGGCAGAGGGAAUUCCCGGUGUAGCGGUGAAAUGCGUAGAUAUCGGGAAGAACACCAGUGGCGAAGGCGCUCUGCUGGGCCAUAACUGACGCUCAUGGACGAAAGCCAGGGGAGCGAAAGGGAUUAGAUACCCCUGUAGUCCUGGCCGUAAACGAUGAACACUAGGUGUCGGGGGAAUCGACCCCCUCGGUGUCGUAGCCAACGCGUUAAGUGUUCCGCCUGGGGAGUACGCACGCAGGUGUGAAACUCAAAGGAAUUGACGGGGGCCCGCACAAGCGGUGGAGUAUGUGGUUUAAUUCGAUGUAACGCGAAGAACCUUACCAGGGUUUGACAUCCUGCGAACCCCUGAGAAAUCGGGGGGUGCCUUCGGGAGCGCAGAGACAGGUGGUGCAUGGCUGUCAUCAGCUCGUGUCGUGAGAUGUUGGGUUAAGUCCCGCAACGAGCGCAACCCACGUCUUUAGUUGCCAGCAUUCAGUUGGGCACUCUAGAGAGACCGCCGGUGAUAAACCGGAGGAAGGUGUGGAUGACGUCAAGUCAUCAUGCCCCUUACAUCCUGGGCUACACACGUACUACAAUGCUACGGACAAAGGGCAGCAAGCUCGCGAGAGUUAGCAAAUCCCAUAAACCGUGGCUCAGUUCAGAUCGUAGGCUGCAACUCGCCUACGUGAAGGAGGAAUCGCUAGUAAUCGCAGGUCAGCAUACUGCGGUGAAUACGUUCCCGGGCCUUGUACACACCGCCCGUCACACCAUGGAAGUUGGCCAUGCCCGAAGUCGUUACUCCAACCCUUGUGGAGGAGGACGCCGAAGGUGGGGCUGAUGACUGGGGUGAAGUCGUAACAAGGUA
rnacentral:rRNA from 1 species